rnacentral:rRNA from 1 species
AUUGAACGCUGGCGGCAGGCUUAACACAUGCAAGUCGAGCGGGGAAAGGUAGCUUGCUACCUGACCUAGCGGCGGACGGGUGAGUAAUGCUUAGGAAUCUGCCUAUUAGUGGGGGACAACAUCUCGAAAGGGAUGCUAAUACCGCAUACGUCCUACGGGAGAAAGCAGGGGACCUUCGGGCCUUGCGCUAAUAGAUGAGCCUAAGUCGGAUUAGCUAGUUGGUGGGGUAAAGGCCUACCAAGGCGACGAUCUGUAGCGGGUCUGAGAGGAUGAUCCGCCACACUGGGACUGAGACACGGCCCAGACUCCUACGGGAGGCAGCAGUGGGGAAUAUUGGACAAUGGGGGGAACCCUGAUCCAGCCAUGCCGCGUGUGUGAAGAAGGCCUUUUGGUUGUAAAGCACUUUAAGCGGGGAGGAGGCUACCGAGAUUAAUACUCUUGGAUAGUGGACGUUACUCGCAGAAUAAGCACCGGCUAACUCUGUG